rnacentral:rRNA from 1 species
AUUGAACGCUGGCGGCGGGCUUAACACAUGCAAGUCGAGCGCGUGGCGGACGGGUGAAUAAUGUCUGGGAAACUGCCUGAUGGAGGGGGAUAACUACUGGAAACGGUAGCUAAUACCGCAUACCAUCGGAUGUGCCCUGAUGGGAUUAGCUAGUAGGUGGGGUAAAGGCUCACCUAGGCGACGAGCCCUAGCUGGUCGGAGAGGGUGACCGGCCACACUGGAACUGAGACACGGUCCAGACUCCUACGGGAGGCAGCAGUGGGGAAUAUUGCACAAUGGGCGAAAGCCUGAUGCAGCAAUGCCGCGUGUAUGAAGAAGGCCUUCGGGUUGUAAAGUACUUUUGGCGGGGAGGCGUUACCCGCAGAAGAAGCACCGGCUAACUCCGUGCCAGCAGCCGCGGUAAUUC